GAUGAACGCUAGCUACAGGCUUAACACAUGCAAGUCGAGGGGCAGCGCAGUGUAGCAAUACAUGGGCGGCGACCGGCGCACGGGUGCGUAACGCGUAUCCAACCUUCCCGUUACUCAGGGAUAGCCUUCCGAAAGGGAGAUUAAUACAGGAUGGUAUUCAAAUUCCGCAUGUUAUUUGAAUUAAAGAUUUAUCGGUAACGGAUGGGGAUGCGUGACAUUAGGUAGAUGGCGGGGUAACGGCCCACCAUGCCUACGAUGUCUAGGGGUUCUGAGAGGAAGGUCCCCCACACUGGAACUGAGACACGGUCCAAACUCCUACGGGAGGCAGCAGUGGGGAAUAUUGGGCAAUGGGGGAAACCCUGACCCAGCAACGCCGCGUGAAGGAAGAAGGGCCUUCGGGUUGGUAAACUUCUUUACCUAGGGACGAAGAACGUGACGGUACCUGGAGAAAAAGCCACGGCUAACUACGUGCCAGCAGCCG
rnacentral:rRNA from 1 species